rnacentral:rRNA from 1 species
GAUGAACGCUGGCGGCGUGCCUAAUACAUGCAAGUCGAGCGAACAGACGAUGAGCUUGCUCCUCUGACGUUAGCGGCGGACGUGUGAGUAACACGUGGAUAACCUACCUAUAAGACUGGGAUAACUUCGGGAAACCGGAUCUAAUACCGUAUAAUAUAUUGAACCGCAUGGUUCAUUAGUGAAAGACGGUUUUGCUGUCACUUCUAGAUGGAUCCGCGCCGCAUUAGCUAGUUGGUAAGGUCACGGCUUACCAAGGCGACGAUGCGUAGCCGACCUGAGAGGGUGAUAGGCCACACUGGAACUGAGACACGGUCCAGACUACUACGGGAGGCAGCAGUAGGGAAUCUUCCGCAAUGGGCGAAAGCCUGACGGAGCAACGCCGCGUGAGUGAUGAAGGUCUUCGGAUCGUAAAACUCUGUUAUUAGGGAAGAACAAAUGUGUAAGUAACUAUGCACGUCUUGACGGUACCUAAUCAGAAAGCCACGGCUAACUACGUG